ACUGUGCAACACUCUUCUUCCUCAAAUCUGCUUAUGUUUACAUGGUAUGAUGCCGCCUAUGGCCUUUGUUACUGAUUCUGGUUCUAACGGUGAAGAUUCUCCUCCUCCUCCUCCGGCUGCCAUAUCUCCUCUGGUUGCGUCGCCGCCACUUCAAGCAUCUUCACCUUCGAUCAAUCUUCCGUUGCCAUCAACAAAACUCACCG
rnacentral:lncRNA from 1 species